GCGGGAUUAGUAUAGUGGUAAUAUGCUUCCUUCCCAAGGAAGAGUCGUGGGUCCGAUUCCCAUAUCCCGCU
rnacentral:tRNA from 3 species